rnacentral:rRNA from 1 species
GAUGAACGCUAGCGGCAGGCCUAACACAUGCAAGUCGAGGGAGAAGCCCUUCGGGGCAGAAACCGGCGCACGGGUGCGUAACGCGUAUGCAACCUACCUUUCACAGGGGGAUAGCCCGAAGAAAUUUGGAUUAAUACCCCAUAAUAUUGUUGGAUGGCAUCAUUUGACAAUUAAAACUGAGGUGGUGGAAGAUGGGCAUGCGUCCUAUUAGCUAGUUGGAGUGGUAACGGCACCCCAAGGCUACGAUAGGUAGGGGUCCUGAGAGGGAGAUCCCCCACACUGGUACUGAGACGGGGACCAGACUCCUACGGGAGGCAGCAGUGAGGAAUAUUGGUCAAUGGUCGGAAGACUGAACCAGCCAUGCCGCGUGCAGGAAGAAUGCCUUAUGGGUUGUAAACUGCUUUUAUAUGGAAGAAUAAGGUGUACGUGUACAUUGAUGACGUACCAUAUGAAUAAAGCUCGCA